rnacentral:rRNA from 1 species
AACGCUGGCGGCGUGCCUAAUACAUGCAAGUCGAGCGAAUCGAUGGGAGCUUGCUCCCUGAGAUUAGCGGCGGACGGGUGAGUAACACGUGGGCAACCUGCCUAUAAGACUGGGAUAACUUCGGGAAACCGGAGCUAAUACCGGAUACGUUCUUUUCUCGCAUGAGAGAAGAUGGAAAGACGGUUUACGCUGUCACUUAUAGAUGGGCCCGCGGCGCAUUAGCUAGUUGGUGAGGUAAUGGCUCACCAAGGCGACGAUGCGUAGCCGACCUGAGAGGGUGAUCGGCCACACUGGGACUGAGACACGGCCCAGACUCCUACGGGAGGCAGCAGUAGGGAAUCUUCCGCAAUGGACGAAAGUCUGACGGAGCAACGCCGCGUGAACGAAGAAGGCCUUCGGGUCGUAAAGUUCUGUUGUUAGGGAAGAACAAGUACCAGAGUAACUGCUGGUACCUUGACGGUACCUAACCAGAAAGCCACGGCUAACUACGUGCCAGCAGCCGCGGUAAUACGUAGGUGGCAAGCGUUGUCCGGAAUUAUUGGGCGUAAAGCGCGCGCAGGUGGUUCCUUAAGUCUGA